rnacentral:rRNA from 1 species
GACGAACGCUGACGGCGUGCUUAACACAUGCAAGUCGAACGGUGAAGCGCCUUCCUUUUUGGUGGGUGUGGAUGAGUGGCGAACGGGUGAGUAACACGUGAGUAACCUGCCCCCUUCUUCUGGAUAACCGCAUGAAAGUGUGGCUAAUACGGGAUAUUCUGGGUCUGUCGCAUGAUGGGUCUGGGAAAGAUAUUGUUUCGGUGGGGGAUGGGCUCGCGGCCUAUCAGCUUGUUGGUGGGGUGAUGGCCUACCAAGGCGGUGACGGGUAGCCGGCCUGAGAGGGUGGACGGUCACACUGGGACUGAGACACGGCGCAGACUCCUACGGGAGGCAGCAGUGGAGAAUAUUGCACAAUGGGCGCAAGCCUGAUGCAGCGACGCCGCGUGAGGGAUGGAGGCCUUCGGGUUGUGAACCUCUUUCGCCAGUGAAGCAGGCCUGCCUCGUUUGUGGGUGGGUUGACGGUAGCUGGAUAAGAAGCGCCGGCUAACUACGUG